ACUCCUACGGGAGGCAGCAGUAGGGAAUCUUCCGCAAUGGACGAAAGUCUGACGGAGCAACGCCGCGUGAGUGAUGAAGGUUUUCGGAUCGUAAAGCUCUGUUGCCAGGGAAGAACGUCCGGUAGAGUAACUGCUACCGGAGUGACGGUACCUGAGAAGAAAGCCCCGGCUAACUACGUGCCAGCAGCCGCGGUAAUACGUAGGGGGCAAGCGUUGUCCGGAAUUAUUGGGCGUAAAGCGCGCGCAGGCGGUCAUUUAAGUCUGGUGUUUAAACCUUGGGCUCAACCUGAGGUCGCACUGGAAACUGGGUGACUUGAGUACAGAAGAGGAAAGUGGAAUUCCACGUGUAGCGGUGAAAUGCGUAGAUAUGUGGAGGAACACCAGUGGCGAAGGCGACUUUCUGGGCUGUAACUGACGCUGAGGCGCGAAAGCGUGGGGAGCAAACAGGAUUAGAUACCCUGGUAGUCCACGCCGUAAACGAUGAGUGCUAGGUGUUAGGGGUUUCGAUACCCUUGGUGCCGAAGUUAACACAGUAAGCACUCCGC
rnacentral:rRNA from 1 species